GGUAGCUAGCGAGGGCUUUGAGACGGCCGAGAGUUUGAGCGCCAAGGCUCUCUCUCCCCAGGGGACUCUGCAACCUGACUAGGUGCUCCUUCCCUGAGGUGUGUGCUCGACAAAGGUUGCUGAAAAAGUUCACGUUGAAAUUUUUUUUGAUGAUAAUAUCGUGUUACUCAUUUCCUUUGUUUCUUAGCAUAGUAACAUUCCAGGGAGCUGCCCGGGGAAGCUUAACGCUCGAUGCGGAGUCCUUAUUUUCUAGGCCAAAGAGAUGUCAUGAUUUUGAGGGGAGCUUUUUCUGCUAUGGAUAUGAGACCGUGCUUGGAAGAAAUGAUUUAUUGCAAAUUUACUAUGAUGGACAAUCUGUCUUUCAGGGUGGUAGGAAUGUAUCAUGGUGGGAGAGUCAUGGCAGCAGGCAGCUGGAACAGGACACUAAGUAAGAACACCUUCAACUACAAGCAGAAGUCAAGGAGAACUGAAAGUGACAACUGGAACCUUGAGAGCCAAGGGAGAUUGUGGAGAGGAUGUGAGCAGAUGGCCGCUGAGGAUAGCUGACCGGGUGGGUGGGCUGGAACCUAGGCCAGGACCUGCCACCUGAGGAUUGUGCCUGCGAUGUCCAUAUGAUUGUGAACAGCUAAACAGGGAGCUCUGCUCUGUUGAAAAUCAUAAAGUUGAAAAUGAAAAGAGAUAAAACCUUAAGCACAGAAGAAUAUUUUGUCUUUGGUGAAAAGAACAACUUAAGAUUAAUUUUAUUUUUAUGCUGUAUAUGCGUGUGGGUAUGUGCAUGCAAAUUUGGGUGACUCCAAAGGUCAGAGCAUCAAAUCACUUGGAGCUGGGAUUAUAGGCAAAUGAAAGCUGCCAAGCAUAGGAAUCUAACGAAUGUCCUCUGUAUGAGCAGAGAGUACUCCUUACUGCAGAGCCAUGUUUCCAGCUUAAGGAGGGCUUUUAGAAAGAAGAUUGAUAGAGAAUACAUACUUAAUAGUUUGAUGUACUAAAAAGGUUAAUUUUUAUUCACUAUAGACACUAGAAAUAAUAUUUACAAUUUAUAUAAUGCAUGUGAUUAUAGAACUAGAAGUAACAAUAUUAAAUAUAAAUAAAUUAUUGUAAGUCAGAUAAGAGAGAUGGAAACCCCAGUAGGAAAAACCCAUUAAAGUAACUAAAAUGUGGACAAA
rnacentral:lncRNA from 1 species